rnacentral:lncRNA from 10 species
GGUGGGGCUACUUCUGUUCCACGGAUGCUCUUUCAAAAACUGAAGGAGGCUUCCCAAGUGAAUCUAGACAAUAAAUUGUCUUUGCCUCCUUCCACAAGUGUGAAAUAAUUACAUAUUACCCAAAUCCUGCAGCCCAUCAGGGCUGAACACAGAUUACAAAAUCAUAUUCAAUACUGUUUAACAGUAACUUUAAAUGGAUCACUCACUGAAAUCUUGAGGUUUAAACACAAUCGUUUUGAAAAUCUAGCUGAGCUCUAUGUUGCUCUGUUAUUCUGCUGAGAGAAGGAGGGGAGACGGGUUUAUUCCUGUCAGUAAAAAAAAAAAAAAAAAAAAAAAAAAGAUGAACUGUGUAAAAAUAAUGUAAGGGGAACACCCACUAUUCCUGUCCCUUCUCAAAUGUCACGUCACAUUGAUCCUGGUGAGCCAGGAAGUCACUUAAUGCAUUCUUUAAAAAGUCAGACUGUCCAGGGAAAGGACACCUUCUUUCACUUCCAAUCAGCCAACCCAUCACUCCUUU